GAUGAACGCUGGCGGCGUGCCUAAUACAUGCAAGUCGAGCGAACGGACGAGAAGCUUGCUUCUCUGAUGUUAGCGGCGGACGGGUGAGUAACACGUGGAUAACCUACCUAUAAGACUGGGAUAACUUCGGGAAACCGUAGCUAAUACCGGAUAAUAUUUUGAACCGCAUGGUUCAAAAGUGAAAGACGGUCUUGCUGUCACUUAUAGAUGGAUCCGCGCUGCAUUAGCUAGUUGGUAAGGUAACGGCUUACCAAGGCAACGAUGCAUAGCCGACCUGAGAGGGGGAUCGGCCACACUGGAACGGGAACACGGACCAGACUCCUACGGGAGGCAGCAGUAGGGAAUCUUCCGCAGUGGGCGAAAGCCUGACGGAGCAACGCCGCGUGAGAGAUGAAGGUCUUCGGAUCGUAAAACUCUGUUAUGAGGGAAGAACAUAUGUGUAAGUAACUGUGCACAUCUUGACGGUACCUAAUCAGAAAGCCACGGCUAACUACGUG
rnacentral:rRNA from 1 species